UGGUGGAGCGAUUUGUCUGGUUAAUUCCGAUAACGAACGAGACUCUGGCCUAUUAAAUAGUUCGCCGAUUCCGAUCUGUCGGCGUUAACUUCUUAGAGGGACAAGUGGCUUUAAGCCACGCGAGAUUGAGCAAUAACA
rnacentral:rRNA from 1 species